GGGACAGUAGGGCUGGUGGCAGCCCACGGCAAGCGUCCCGGCCGGAAUGCAGGUUCGACUCCUGCCUGUCCCA
rnacentral:tRNA from 1 species